UAAUUUUGACCAAAGAAUCAGCAUUUCAAUGGCAAAUUUAUGUAAGGAUGGUGAUAUGGUUUGGCUGUGUCCCCACCCAGAUCUCAUCUUGAAUUCCCAUGUGUUGUGGGGGUGACCGGUGGGAGGUAAUUGAAUUGUGGUGAUGGGUCUUUCCUGUGUUGUUCUCAUAAUAGGGAAUAACUCUCAUGAGAUCUGAUGGUUUUAUAAAGGGCAGGUUCCCUGCACAAGCUCUUUUCUCCUGUCUGUUGCCAUGUGAGAAGCGCCUUUCACCUUCUGCCAUGAUUGUGAUGCCUCCCUAGCCACGUAGAACUGUGUCAGGAGAGCCACUCCUCCCAAAGGAGUGCUUGUGAGCAGAGGUGAUCAGAGGACUUUCUGAAGAGCGAGGAGUGAUUUCAGAGGGCCAAAAAGAAGAAAAGGGAGUGAGCCAGUCAUUAAGGCCCCUAAUCUCAGCUUAUUUUGACUGCUUCUCAACACAGCAUUGCAAGUGGUUGAUUUGAUGGAUGUGGCACGUGACCAGGUUCUGGCUAAUGAGAUGUCUGAAACUUAAAAUGGAAGAGAUAUAUCAUCUCCUUUUCCUUGCUCCAUCCUGCUACCUGGAAAAUGGAUGUGAUGACAAGCCCUGGAAAACCGCAAGGACGAGGACAACACUGGAGAGAUGGGGCAGCACAUGAUGAAAUCGCCCAGGGACUGACUUACUCUUUGGCUAAAUCAUCUGAACCUUCAGGUUGAAAACCAAAAUCACUGCCUCAGUGUUACACAAUGGAUUCUAUUGCUGGAGUACACAAAGGAGAAGAUGGAAAUGGGCCUGAGGGAGAGUCUGCGUGCUGGACCAGAGUCAGUGCAGAGACAUAAUCACUGAAUCAGAUGAGACGUUUUGCCAACUUUUAUCAGGGACAAAAGCCAAGGUCUCUUGCAUCUCAGCCUGGUGCAGGGAUCAUUCUCCUGAUGUUUCAUCCUCUUUAAAGAACUAUCAGAAACCAAAUCUUAAGUAGAUGUACCUGAGAUAUUUUUCCAGUUUUUCCCUUUUCUUAUUUUUUAUUUAGCUGUGUGUUUCUCCUUGUCCAUUCUCCAUUUCCUAAACUUUCUGUUGAAUAUCUUUUCUACUUAAAACUAGCCCCACGAUUCAAAAGUGACCCUUGCUGAUUUUGUGCCUUCUCUCACUUUGUGUUUUGGGGAAUGAGGCAGAUGGUGAUCAUUUCACUCUUGUUCUUGUUCAUUUCUCGAAGCCGUGCGUAUCCCUCUCUUUGGUUUGUGAAAGAAUCAGUGUUUCCUUGUCAAUAGCAUCCUACUUACUUGUCAGACCCCUGGGUUCCAUUUAGAUUCAUUCUUCACAAGGCAUUAAAGUAAGGCAGCAUUUUCAUGGAGUUACAAUGUCUUAUUGUUGAAGGUGUCGUCUAGUCCAAUCUCGCAACUAGUACAAAAGACUUACAGUUAUUUGCUAGCUGUGUGUUUGAGCAAAUUACUUAAUCCCUUUGAAUCUGAUUCACACUAAGUGUGAAUAAAUGUCUGUAGUUUACGGUUAGUAUUGCUUGGGUAGUAGUAGUAAUAACCUGCAAUGAUACCACUUGCUAGAGUAGCUGUUAAUAAAGUUUAGCCCUCCCUUGUUACCUCACAACAAGGCCUCUUUCACUUCUGAGCGGUUAAAAUAUUUUAGUCACUCUUUGGUUAAAACGAGCUAAUUCCCCAUAGUCUCCAACGAUUUGCCCCAGGCCUUCCUGUAAAGCUUGGGGAAUGAAUCUACACAGUCCACACGAUGCUGAUUCUUCCCAGCAAAGCCUUCCAUUCCUCUGACUGAACUUUGUCAGUCACUCUACCACUUUAACAUUGUCAAAUAUGAUCAAGAUUCAGAUCAAAGUCUCUUUUAUGAAGCUGGCUGCUCUGCUCUGGAUGACCCUCCAUGCCCUGUGUUCCUCUUAAGGUAUAGUACAGAGACCCAAAGCACAAAGUUCAAGGGCUGACCUGACUUUUGAUGGACAUAUCUAGUAUUAUAGGGAAAGCACCUAGUAUAUUACACCUAUAUAGCAAUAUUAUCCAUAUAUAUAAUAUUAUAUUAAACAGGAGUAAGUAUGAGCGUCAUCUCCAAAGAAGCCCAAUCCAGGGACAAGCUUUACUCAUGGUGGGGAUGCCUUUAUCCAGGCUUUCGUCUUCAAAUUUUGACUUUUGUCUCCUUGUAUUUAAUGUGGUUUUAACCACUUUGUUGUGAUUGAGAAAUGAGGACUGUUGAAUCAUCAAAGGAUUUAUGUUUGCAAGUUCAGUCAUUUACCCACUAGACAAACCUGGGCAACGAACUAGCAUUUCUCCCUUAUCUUCCUUAUUUGCAAAAUUUCUGUCCUGCCUAUCCCAAUGGAUCAAAUUCAUCCAAAAUCAAAUAAAAAUAUGAAUGAGGGAAACCAUAUAUGCUCUAUAGUAUUAAUUAUAACAAAAUUGCCCUUUCUUAUUACUUUUCAU